rnacentral:rRNA from 1 species
CACAUGCAAGUCGAGGGGCAGCAUGAUUGAAGCUUGCUUCAAUUGAUGGCGACCGGCGCACGGGUGAGUAACGCGUAUCCAACCUUCCGUACACUCAGGGAUAGCCUUUCGAAAGAAAGAUUAAUACCUGAUGGUAUGAUGAGAUUGCAUGAUAUCAUCAUUAAAGAUUCAUCGGUGUACGAUGGGGAUGCGUUCCAUUAGGUAGUAGGCGGGGUAACGGCCCACCUAGCCUACGAUGGAUAGGGGUUCUGAGAGGAAGGUCCCCACAUUGGAACUGAGACACGGUCCAAACUCCUACGGGAGGCAGCAGUGAGGAAUAUUGGUCAAUGGACGAGAGUCUGAACCAGCCAAGUAGCGUGAAGGAUGAAGGUCCUACGGAUUGUAAACUUCUUUUAUAAGGGAAUAAAACCUCCCACGUGUGGGAGCUUGUAUGUACCUUAUGAAUAAGCAUCGGCUAACUCCGUGCCAGCAGCCGCGGUAAUACGGAGGAUGCGAGCGUUAUCCGGAUUUAUUGGGUUUAAAGGGAGCGCAGACGGGUCGUUAAGUCAGCUGUGAAAGUUUGGGGCUCAACCUUAAAAUUGCAGUUGAUACUGGCGUCCUUGAGUGCGGUUGAGGUGUGCGGAAUUCGUGGUGUAGCGGUGAAAUGCUUAGAUAUCACGAAGAGCUCCGAUUGCGAAGGCAGCACACUAAGCCGUAACUGACGUUCAUGCUCGAAAGUGUGGGUAUCAAACAGGAUUAGAUACCCUGGUAGUCCACACGGUAAACGAUGGAUACUCGCUGUUGGCGAUAUACAGUCAGCGGCUUAGCGAAAGCGUUAAGUAUCCCACCUGGGGAGUACGCCGGCACGGUGAAACUCAGAGGAAUUGACGGGGGCCCGCACAAGCGGAGGAACAUGUGGUUUAAUU